GUGCUCGCUUCAGCAGCAUAUAUACUAAAAUUGAAAUGAUACAGAAAAGAUUAGCAUUGCCUCUGUUCAGGUAAGACAUUCAAAUUAGUAAAGAGUUACAUAUUUUU